ensembl:lncRNA
AGUAAUAGUUAGUUCAGUGAUAAGGUUGUUGGGUAAUAAUAGUUACUUCAGUGAUAAGGUUCUGGGGUAGUAAUAGUUACUUCAGUGAUAAGGUUCUGGGGUAGUAAUCGUCAGUUUGUGAUAAGGUUCCGGGGUAGUAAUAGUUACUUCAGUGAUAAGGUUCCGGGGUAGUAAUAGUUAGUUCAGUGAUACGGUUCUGGGGUAUUAAUAGUUACUUCAGUGAUACGGUUCUGGGGUAGUAAUAGUCACUUCAGUGAUAAGGUUCUGGGGUAGUAAUCGUUAGUUUGUGAUAAGGUUCCGGGGUAGUAAUAGUUAGUUCAGUGAUACGGUUCUGGGG